AUCCAGCUGAUGAGUCCCAAAUGGGACGAAACGCGCGUUCUGAAU
rnacentral:hammerhead_ribozyme from 1 species